UCCAAAGCUUCUCCCACUCUUCUCUCUUCCGUUCGUUCCUCUCGAUUCCUCUUGCGAUCGAUGGAGACUAUAGUGAUUCCUCUUUCGGUCGAUUGACACUAUAACCUAUUCAUCGAUCGGAUUGGACUUCGUGAUCUCCGUUACAAGAAGGAGAAACUUUCUUGAUCUGGCGUCGCGUUCUCUGGUUCUUCGAUCCAAAAAGCUUCGGGGGAGAUCUCGCCGUUACUUGAUAUGGUCUCGAGUGCUCCGGUUCUUCGCACCAAAGUUUCGGUGAGACCUUCUUCCGUUUGUUCCUUCGGAUUCCUCUAUCGAUCUAUUGAAAUUAUAACCUGUUGACCGAUCGAAUUGGACGUCGUGAUCUCCGUUACAAGAAGGAGAAACUUAUGAAAAGGUUGACAUCUCACCGUUUCUUGAUCUGGUGUCGAGUGCUCCCACACUUCGCUCCAAAGAUUCGGUGAGACCCUCCUCGCUCUCAUGUCUCUUCCGUUUGCUCCUGUGGGUUCCUCUUUCGAUCUAUUGAAACUAUAACUUGUUGAUCGAUCGGAUUAGACGUCGUGAUUUCCAUUACAAGAAGCAGAAACUUAUGAAUAGGGUGAUCUCGCCGUUUCUUGAUAUGGUCUCGAGUUUUCGGUGAGGCCCUCCUCCCUCUCUUCCGUUCGUUCCUUUGGAUUCCUCUCGCGAUCGAUCGAAACUAUAGAUCUGUUGAUCGAUCGGAUUGGAGUUCGUGAUCUCCAUUACAAGAAGGAGAAACUUAUGAAUAAGGGGAGAUUUCACCGUUUUUUGAUCUGGUGCUGAGUGCUCCGACUCUUCGCUCCAAAGUUUCGACCUUCCUUUGCCUGUCGUCCCAAGCGACUCUGCGAGUUUGAGACGAG